rnacentral:rRNA from 1 species
AUGGUCAUUACUCUAUGGUCUAUUUGGUAUGCAAGACGAAAGGCCAUAUAUGAAUCUAUUUUCCAAAGUCCACAACAAACUACAAGCUUUGUCAAUAAAUUCAUCAAUGAUCUGGGUCUCAUCACAGCCGGGAGCGAACGUCAAAGCCCGACCACUACUGCGCAAGCCCGGCCGGAGCGAUGGCUGCCACCCCCGAGUGGCAGUGUCAAGAUCAAUGUAGAUGGAGCAGUGGCGAGGUCACGCCUUGGAGGAGCGGUAACCGUACUAUGCCGUGAUCGGGAGGGCUUAUACUUGGGGUCCUCUGCUGUGGUUUUUCAUCACACCAGGGAUCCCCUUCUUCUAGAGACAUAUGCUUGUCGGGAGGCGCUGGCACUCGCGGACGACCUGGCGGUCAGGAAUAUUUGUGUGGCAUGCGACUGCCAAGAGGUGGUAAAUGACAUCAACAGGGGUAUUGGAGGCCCCAAUGCGUCAAUAGUUUAUGAAAUAUUGAGUCAUUGUAAGAGUUUCAUUUCUUGCUCUUUUAUCCAUGAGCGUAGGAACUUUAAUUUCGAGGCUCACAAUCUCGCUAAAUUUGCUUGUAAUCUAGGCGUAGGUCGUCAUGUUUGGUUGGGCACUCCUCAUGACCCAACCCUUGUACCUAUGACCUUUCCUUUGAAUGAAUAA